UGCAGUCGAGGGGCAGCAUCAUCAAAGCUUGCUUUGAUGGAUGGCGACCGGCGCACGGGUGAGUAACACGUAUCCAACCUGCCGACAACACUGGGAUAGCCUUUCGAAAGAAAGAUUAAUACCGGAUGGCAUAGUUUUCCCGCAUGGGAUAAUUAUUAAAGAAUUUCGGUUGUCGAUGGGGAUGCGUUCCAUUAGGCAGUUGGCGGGGUAACGGCCCACCAAACCUACGAUGGAUAGGGGUUCUGAGAGGAAGGUCCCCCACAUUGGAACUGAGACACGGUCCAAACUCCUACGGGAGGCAGCAGUGAGGAAUAUUGGUCAAUGGACGAGAGUCUGAACCAGCCAAGUAGCGUGAAGGAUGACUGCCCUAUGGGUUGUAAACUUCUUUUAUACGGGAAUAAAGUGAGCCACGUGUGGCUUUUUGUAUGUACCGUAUGAAUAAGGAUCGGCUAACUCCGUGCCAGCAGCCGCGGUAAUACGGAGGAUUCGAGCGUUAUCCGGAUUUAUUGGGUUUAAAGGGAGCGUAGGCGGGUUGUUAAGUCAGUUGUGAAAGUUUGCGGCUCAACCGUAAAAUUGCAGUUGAUACUGGCGACCUUGAGUGCAACAGAGGUAGGCGGAAUUCGUGGUGUAGCGGUGAAAUGCUUAGAUAUCACGAAGAACUCCGAUUGCGAAGGCAGCUUACUGGAUUGUAACUGACGCUGAUGCUCGAAAGUGUGGGU
rnacentral:rRNA from 1 species